rnacentral:lncRNA from 1 species
AAACGAGACUUGUCGGGGAUAGGGCGGGACACUUCCGGCUGUUGCGCUCGCUUCCGUUCGCAGUCGGCGGCGUGGUGGGGAGCUGUUGGUUCGGACUGUGGCAGGAUCCGAUGCCAUCCUCGGUAACGGCGCCUUGUCCCUGCCAAAAGCAUGCAGGAGGAAGGGAAGCCCAGCAGCGCCCUGCUGAGCCCUGGGUGCAGCACCUCUUUCUGUUUGGAAAUCAAGGAUGAGGCUUUUGGAUGAGAGUAUCCCUCCCACUAACCACCUAUGAGUCUCUAAGGAAGGAGGAUGCAAUGUGUCUUCCACCCAAUGAUCCUGUACUAAAGAAAGUGCCUGUCUCAAGCCAGGGGCUGGUAACUUUGACUGCAAGCAGGUAAGGAAUUGCUCGAGAAAUGUUUCUCUGUGCUUGUGAGAAAUCAACAGGCUUUUGGGGCAGCAGGGGUGGGUCAUGGUGUACAGAGUGCUGAUUCCUUGAACCUCUUCCUUGCCAGGGUAGCAUAGGAAUGUAGUGGGUGAUCAUUAGUGUGUUCAGGUAUUGCCCUCCUGAGCAGAUUGAAUGCUGUCUCUCAGCAGGCUGUAACCUGAUGUGCUGGAUGACAAAGGGCAGAGGAAAUGAUGGUCCAAAUGUUGCCGAAAGGAGCAGAACUCUACUUGAUGUCCAGUUUCCUACACAUUCCUCCUC